rnacentral:rRNA from 1 species
CCUACGGGCGGCAGCAGUGGGGAAUAUUGCACAAUGGGCGAAAGCCUGAUGCAGCAACGCCGCGUGCGCGAAGAAGGUCUUCGGAUCGUAAAGCGCUUUUCUGCGAGAUGAGAAAGGACAGUAUCGUAGGAAUAAGUCUCGGCUAACUACGUGCCAGCAGCCGCGGUAACACGUAGGAGGCAAGCGUUAUCCGGAUUCACUGGGCGUAAAGCGCGUGCAGGCGGUUUGGUAAGUUGGGCGUGAAAGCUCCCGGCUCAACUGGGAGAGGUCGUCCAAUACUACCAGGCUAGAGUGCGGUAGAGGAAAAUGGAAUUCCCGGUGUAGUGGUGAAAUGCGUAGAUAUCGGGAGGAACACCAGUGGCGAAAGCGAUUUUCUGGACCGUUACUGACGCUCAGACGCGAAAGCUAGGGUAGCAAACGGGAUUAGAUACCCCUGUAGU